AACGAACGCUGGCGGCAGGCCUAACACAUGCAAGUCGAGCGAGGACUUCGGUUCUAGCGGCGGACGGGUGAGUAACGCGUGGGAACGUGCCCUUCUCUACGGAAUAGCCUCGGGAAACUGGGAGUAAUACCGUAUACGCCCUUAGGGGGAAAGAUUUAUCGGAGAAGGAUCAGCCCGCGUUGGAUUAGGUAGUUGGUGGGGUAAUGGCCUACCAAGCCUACGAUCCAUAGCUGGUUUGAGAGGAUGAUCAGCCACACUGGGACUGAGACACGGCCCAGACUCCUACGGGAGGCAGCAGUGGGGAAUCUUAGACAAUGGGGGCAACCCUGAUCUAGCCAUGCCGCGUGAGUGAUGAAGGCCUUAGGGUUGUAAAGCUCUUUCAGCUGGGAAGAUAAUGACGGUUCCAGCGGAAGAAGCCCCGGCUAACUCCGUGCCAGCCGCCGCAGUAAUAC
rnacentral:rRNA from 1 species